rnacentral:rRNA from 1 species
AUUGAACGCUGGCGGCAGGCCUAACACAUGCAAGUAGAACGAGUGGCGGAAGGGUGAGUAAUGUCUGGGAAACUGCCUGAUGGAGGGGGAUAAAUCCUGGAAACGGUAGCUAAUCCCGCAUACCAUCGGAUGUGCACAGAUGGGAUUAGCUAGUAGGUGGGGUAAAGGCUCCCCUAGUCGACGAUACCUAGCUGGUCUGAGAGGAUGACCAGCAAGACUGGAACUGAGACACGGUCCAGACUCCUACGGGAGGCAGCAGUGGAGAAGAUUGCACAAUGGGCGCAAGCCUGAUGCAGCCAUGCCGCGUGUAUGAAGAAGGCCAUCGGGUUGUAAAGUACUGUCAGCGGGGAGGCGUUACCCGCAGAAGAAGCACCGGCUAACUCCGUGCCAGCAGCCGCGGUAAUUC